GUGCUCACUUUGGCAGCACAUCUGCUCAAAUUGGAACAAUACUGAGAAGAUUAGCAUGGCCCUGUGCAAGGAUGACACUCAUAUUUGUCAUGUGUUCCAUACAAAA